UUUAUUUUUGUUCCUUGAUUUUUGUUCCUGUUUAGUAAUAAAUAAAUCAUCUAUCCUCUGUUAUGAUUGUGUUUUUUUAUGUUUUAAUUAGUAUUUGUGCCAAGUAAAUCCUUUAGGAUCUUCUUGGGUGAUUGUUGUUUGAUCUUGCUGAAAAAAACAGAAAGUAUGCGCUCACAAAUUAUUUACCAAAGAGCGAUAAAAUACCAAUUCCAACUGUAGUAGAUUAGUAUACAAAUUAUUUAGGAUGUCCUAAUUUCUCAGGAUUUUUGGAGUUACAGAAGUAUUCGAAACUUCCAGAUUGCUACAGACUGUUCUGUUUUUGACAGAUUCUGUUUUUCGUGUGUUGUUUGCUUAUUUUGAUGAAUCUAUGGCUAGUAUCGGGGGCUAUGAACCAUAGAGAAGUUGGAAUACAGUAGGUUUAACACCAAUAUAAAUAAAGAAUGAGUUCAUUACAAUACCUUAAAGUGGUGGUUUGUUUUCUUAUACUAACGGAGCUCAUGAGAUUUUCUAUCGAGUUUUGUGUUGUGAAGUUUUCAAGUUUUUGGGUAAAGAUUUGAUGGAUUUUGGAAUAAGGAGUGGAAAGAGCCUAAUAUUGGGGAUGCCCAAGGCACCCCAAGGUAAAAUUCAAGGACAACCAAAAGCCUAAGCUUGGGUAUGCCCCGGAAGGCAUCCCCUCUUUUGUGUUCGUCUAUCGGUAACUUUACUUGAGGCUAUAUUUUUAUUCACCACAUGAUAUGUGUUUUGCUUGGAGCGUCUUGUAUGAUUUGAGUCUUUGCUUUUUAGUUUACCAAAAUCAUCCUUGGUGUACACACCCUUUUGGAGAGACACACAUGAAUCAGAAUUUAUUAGAAUACUCUAUGAGCUUCACUUAUAUCUUUUGAGCUAGAUAAUUUUGCUCUAGUGCUUCACUUAUAUCUUUUUAGAGCAAGGUGGUGGUUUUAUUUUAUAGAAAUUAUUGAUAUCUCAUGCUUCACUUAUAUUAUUUUGAGAGUCUUUUAGAACAGCAUGGUAAUUUGCUUUGGUUAUGAAAUUAGUCCUAAUAUGAUAGGCAUCCAAGAUGGGUAUAAUAAAAACUUCCAUAUGGAGUGCAUUGAAUACUAUGAGAAGUUUGAUACUCGAUGAUUGUUUUGAGAUAUGAAGAUGGUAAUAUUAGAGUCAUGCUAGUUGAGUAGUUGUGAAUUUGAGAGAUACUUGUGUUAAAGUUUGUGAUUCCCGUAGCAUGCACGUAUGGUGAACCGUUAUGUGAUGAAGUCGGAGCAUGAUUUAUUUAUUGAUUGUCUUCCUUAUGAGUGGCGGUCGGGGAUGAGCGAUGGUCUUUUCCUACCAAUCUAUCCCCCUAGGAGCAUGCGUGUAGUACUUUGUUUCGAUAACUAAUAGAUUUUUGCAAUAAGUAUGUGAGUUCUUUAUGACUAAUGUUGAGUCCAUGGAUUAUACGCACUCUCACCCUUCCACCAUUGCUAGCCUCUCAAGUACCGCGCAACUUUCGCCGGUACCAUAAACCCAGCAUAUACCUUCCUCAAAAAAGCCACCAUACCUACCUAUUAUGGCAUUUCCAUAGCCAUUCCAAGAUAUAUUGACAUGCAACUUUCCACCGUUCCAUUAUUUAUGACACGCUUCAUCAUUGUCAUAUUGCUUUGCAUGAUCAUGUAGUUGACAUCGUAUUUGUGGCAAAGCCACCGUUCAUAAUUCUUUCAUACAUGUCACUCUUGAUUCAUUGCACAUCCCGGUACACCGCCGGAGGCAUUCACAUAGUCAUAUUUUGUUCUAAGUGUCGAGUUGUAAUUCUUGAGUUGUAAGUAAAUAAAAGUGUGAUGAUCUCCAUUAUUAGAGCAUUGUCCCAUGUGAGGAAAGGAUGAUGGAGACUAUGAUUUCCCCACAAGUCGGGAUGAGAUUCUGGACGAAAAAAAGAGGCCACAAAAAAGAGAGAAAAAAGGCCCAAAUAAAAAAAUGAGAGAAAAAGAGAGAAGGGGCAAUGCUACUAUCCUUUUCCCACACUUGUACUUCAAAGUAGCACCAUGAUCUUCAUGAUAGAGAGUCUCCUAUUUUGUCACUUUCAUAUACUAGUGGGGAUUUUUCAUUAUAGAACUUGGCUUGUAUAUUCCAAUGAUGGGCUUCCUCAAAAUGCCCUAGGUCUUCGUGAGCAAGCGAGUUGGAUGCACACCCACUUAGUUUCUUUUGUUGAGUUUUCAUACACUUAUAGCCCUAGUGCAUCCGUUGCAUGGAAAUCCCUACUCGCUCACAUUGAUAUCUAUUGAUGGGCAUCUCCAUAGCCUGUUGAUAUACCUAGUUGAUGUGAGACUAUCUUCUCCUUUUUGUCUUCUCCACAACCACCAUUCUAUUCCACCUAUAGUGAUAUAUCCAUGGCUCACGCUCAUGUAUUGCGUGAAGAUUGAAAACGUUUUAGAACAUCAAAAGUAUGAAACAAUUGCUUGACUUGUCAUCGGGGUUGUGCAUGAUUUAAAUAUUUUGUGUGAUGAAGAUAGAGCAUAGCCAUACUAUAUGAUUUUUUAGGGAUAACUUUCUUUGGCCAUGUUAUUUUGAGAAGACAUAAUUGCUUGGUUAGUAUGCUUGAAGUAUUAUUAUUUUUAUGUCAAUAUUAAACUUUUGUUUUGAAUCUUUCGGAUCUGAAUAUUCAUGCCACAGUAAAGAAAAUUACAUUGAAAAUUAUGUUAGGUAGCAUUCCACAUCAAAAAAUCUGUUUUUUAUAUUUUACCUACUCGAGGACGAGCAGGAAUUAAGCUUGGGGAUGCUGAUACGUAUCCAAUGUAUCUAUAAUUUUUUAUUAUUCCAUGCUAUUAUAUUAUCUAUUUUGGAUGUUUAAUGGGCUUUAAUAUGCACUUUUAUGUUAUUUUUGGGACUAACCUAUUAACCGAAGGCCCAGUGCCAGUUGCUUUUUUUGCCUAUUUCAGUGUUUCGCAGAAAAGGAAUAUCAAACGGAAUCCAAACGGAAUGAAACCUUCGCGAGAAUUUUUUUGGACCAAAUGCAAUCCAGGAGACUUGGAGUAGAGGUCAAGGAAGCAACGAGGCGGCCACGAGCUAGGGCGGCGCGCGCCCCACCCUCGUGGGCCCCUCGUAGCUCCACCGACCUAAUUCCUUCGCCUAUAUAUACGCUUAUACCCUGAAAACAUCCAGGGAGCCAUGAAACCACUUUUCCACCGCCGCAACCUUCUGUACCCGUGAGAUCCCAUCUGGGGACCUUUUCUGGCGAUCUGCCGGAGGGGGAUUCGAUCACAGAGGGCUUCUACAUCAACACCAUAGCCUCUCCGAUGAUGUGUGAGUAGUUUGCCAUAGACCUUCGGGUCCAUGGUUAUUAGCUAGAUGGCUUCUUCUCUCUCUUUGGAUCUCAAAACAAAGUUCUCCUCGAUGUUCUUGGAGAUCUAUUCGAUGUAAUUCUUUUUGCGGUGUGUUUGCCGAGAGCCGAUGAAUUGUGGGUUUAUGAUUAAGAUUAUCUAUGAACAAUAUUUGAUUCUUCUCUGAAUUCUUAUAUGCAUGAUUUGAUAUCUUUGCAAGUCUCUUCAAAUUAUCAGUUUGGUUGGCCUACUAGAUUGAUCUUUAUUGCAAUGGGAGAAGUGCUUAGCUUUGGGUUCAAUUUUCCGGUGUCCUUUUUGUUGGGGAACGUUGCAGAAAACAAAAAUUUUCCUACGGUUUCACCAAGAUCCAUCUAUGAGUUCAUCUAACAACGAGUGAUCGGAUGCAUCUACAUACCUUUGUAGAUCGCGAGCGGAAGCGUUCAAAGAACGGGGAUGAGGGAGUCGUACUCAACGUGAUCCAAAUCACCGGAGAUCCUAGCGCCGAACGGACGGCACCUCCGCGUUCAACACACGUACGGUCAGCGUAACGUCUCCUCCUUCUUGAUCCAGCAAGGGGGAAGGAGAGGUUGAGGAAGAUGGCUCCAACAGCAGCACGACGGCGUGGUGGUGGUGGAGCUGCAGUACUCCGGUAGGGCUUCGCUAAGCUCUAUGGAGGAGGAGGAUGUGUUGGAGAGGGAGAGGGAGGCACCAAAGGAGUGGUUUGAGAGGCCCUCCUUCCCCACUAUAUAUAGGGAGCCUGGGGGGGGGGCUGGCCCUAGGAGAUGCAAUCUCCUAGGGGGCGGCGGCCAAGGGAGGAAUCCCUCCUCCCCAAGGCACCUAGGAGGUGCCUUCCCCCUUUAGGACUCUUCCUUUCUUGAUCUCCUGGCGCAUGGGCCUCUUGGGGCUGGUGCCCUUGGCCCAUAUAGGCCAAGGCGCACACCCCUACAGCCCAUGUGGCCCCACCCGGUGGACCCCCGGGACCCUUCCGGUGGUCCCGGUACAAUACCGGUGACCCCGAAACUUGUCCCGACGGUCGAAAUAGCACUUCCUAUAUAUAAUUCUUUACCUCCAGACCAUUCCGGAACUCCUCGUGAUGUCCGGGAUCUCAUCCGGGACUCCGAACAACAUUCGGGUUACUGCAUAUACAUAUCCCUACAACCCUAGCGUCACCGAACCUUAAGUGUGUAGACCCUACGGGUUCGGGAGACAUGUAGACAUGACCGAGAUCGCUCUCCGGUCAAGAACCAACAGCGGGAUCUGGAUACCCAUGUUGGCUCCCACAUGCUCCUCGAUGAUCUCAUCGGAUGAACCACGAUGUCGAGGAUUCAAGCAACCCCGUAUACAAUUCCCUUCAUCAAUCGGUAUGUUACUUGCCCGAGAUUCGAUCGUCGGUAUCCCAAUACCUCGUUCAAUCUCGUUACCGGCAAGUCACUUUACUCGUACCGUAAUGCAUGAUCCCGUGACCAGACACUUGGUCACUUUGAGCUCAUAAUGAUGAUGUAUUACUGAGUGGGCCCAGUGAUACCUCUCCGUCAUACGGAGUGACAAAUCCCAGUCUUGAUCCGUGUCAACCCAACAGACACUUUCGGAGAUACCCGUAGUAUACCUUUAUAGUCACCCAGUUACGUUGUGACGUUUGGUACACCCAAAGCACUCCUACGGUAUCCGGGAGUUACACGAUCUCAUGGUCUAAGGAAAGGAUACUUGACAUUGGAAAAACUCUAGCAAACGAACUAUACGAUCUUAUGCUAUGUUUAGGAUUGGGUCUUGUCCAUCACAUCAUUCUCCUAAUGAUGUGAUCUCGUUAUCAAUGACAUCCAAUGUCCAUAGUCAGGAAACCAUGACUAUCUGUUGAUCAACGAGCUAGUCAACUAGAGGCUUACUAGGGACAUGUUGGUGUCUAUUAUUCACACAUGUAUUACGAUUUCCGGAUAACACAAUUAUAGCAUGAAUAAAGACAAUUAUCAUGAACAAGGAAAUAUAAUAAUAAUGCCUUUAUUUUUGCCUCUAGGGCAUAUUUCCAAUAGUCUCCCACUUGCACUAGAGUCAAUAAUCUAGUUACAUUGUGAUGAAUCAAACAGCCAUGGAAUUCUGGUGUUGAUCAUGUUUUGCUCUAGGGAGAGGUUUAGUCAACGGAUCUUCUACAUUCAGGUCCGUAUGUACUUUACAAAUAUCUAUGUCUCCAUCUUGAACAUUUUCACGAAUGGAGUUGAAGCGACGCUUGAUGUGCCUUGUCUUCUUGUGAAACCUGGGCUCCUUGGCAAGAGCAAUAGCUCCAGUGUUGUCACAGAAGAGCUUGAUCGGCCCCGACGCAUUGGGUAUGACUCCUAGGUCGGUGAUGAACUCCUUCACCCAAAUUGCUUCAUGCGCUGCCUCCGAGGCUGCCAUGUACUCCGCUUCACAUGUAGAUCCUGCCACGACGCUCUGCUUGCAACUGCACCAGCUUACUGCCCCACCAUUCAAAAUAUACACGUAUCCGGUUUGUGACUUAGAGUCAUCCAGAUCUGUGUCGAAGCUAGCGUCGACGUAACCUUUUACGACGAGCUCUUCGUCACCUCCAUAAACGAGAAACAUGUCCUUAGUCAUUUUCAGGUACUUCAGGAUAUUCUUGACCGCUGUCCAGUGUUCCUUGCCGGGAUUACUUUGGUACCCACCUACCAAACUUACGGCAAGGUUUACAUCAGGUCUGGUACACAGCAUGGCAUACAUAAUAGAACCUAUGGCUGAGGCAUAGGGGAUGACACUCAUCUCUUCUAUAUCUUCUGCCGUGGUCGGACAUUGAGCUGAGCUCAAUUUCACACCUUGCAACACAGGCAAGAACCCCUUCUUAGACUGAUCCAUAUUGAACUUCUUCAAUAUCUUAUCAAGGUAUGUGCUUUGUGAAAGACCUAUGAGGCGUCUUAAUCUGUCUCUAUAGAUCUUGAUGCCUAAUAUAUAAGCAGCUUCUCCAAGGUCCUUCAUUGAAAAACUCUUAUUCAAGUAGGCCUUAAUGAUGUCCAAGAGUUCUAUAUCAUUUCCCAUCAAAAGUAUGUCAUCUACAUAUAAUAUGAGAAAUGCUACAGAGCUCCCACUCACUUUCUUGUAAACACAGGCUUCUCCAUAAGUCUGCGUAAACCCAAACGCUUUGAUCAUCUCAUCAAAGCGAAUGUUCCAACUCCGAGAUGCUUGCACCAGCCCAUAAAUCAAGCGUUGGAGCUUGCACACCUUGUCAGCAUUCUUAGGAUCGAAAAAACCUUCCGGUUGCAUCAUAUACAAUUCUUCCUUAAGGAAACCAUUAAGGAAUGCCGUUUUGACGUCCAUUUGCCAUAUCUCAUAAUCAUAGAAUGCGGCAAUUGCUAACAUGAUUCAGACGGACUUUAGCUUCGCUACCGGUGAGAAAGUCUCAUCGUAGUCAACCCCUUGAACUUGUCGAUAACCCUUAGCGACAAGCCGAGCUUUAUAGAUGGUCACAUUACCAUCCGCGUCUGUCUUCUUCUUAAAGAUCCAUUUAUUUUCUAUGGCUCGCCGCUCUACAGGCAAGUCAGUCAAAGUCCAUACUUUGUUUUCAUACAUGGAUCCUAUCUCGGAUUUCAUGGCUUCCAGCCAUUUGUCGGAAUCCGGGCCCGCCAUCGCUUCCUCAUAGUUCGAAGGUUCACCGUUGUCUAACAACAUGAUUUCCAAGACAGGGUUGCCGUACCACUCUGGUGCGGAACGUGUCCUUGUGGACCUUCGAAUUUUAGUAGGAGCUUGAUCAGAAGUAUCUUGAUCAUCAUCAUUAACUUCCUCUCUAGUUGGUGCAGGCACCUCAGGAACAUUUUCUUGAGCUGCGCCAUUUUCCGGUUCAAGAGGUAAUACUUCAUCAAGUUCUACUUUCCUCCCACUUACUUCUUUCGAGAGAAACUCUUUCUCUAGAAAGGACCCAUUCUUGGCAACAAAGAUCUUGCCUUCGGAUCUGAGGUAGAAGGUAUACCCAAUAGUUUCUUUGGGGUAUCCUAUGAAGACGCAUUUUUCCGAUUUGGUUUCGAGCUUUUCAGGUUGAAGUUUCUUGACAUAAGCAUCGCAUCUCCAAACUUUUAGAAACGACAGCUUAGGUUUCUUCCCAAACCAUAAUUCAUACAGUGCCGUCUCAACGGAUUUCAACGAAGCCCUAUUUAAAGUGAAUGCGGCAUUCUCUAAAGCAUACCCCCAAAAAGAUAGCGGUAAAUCGGUAAGAGACAUCAUAGAUCGCACCAUAUCUAAUAGAGUGCGAUUACGACGUUCGGACACACCAUUACGCUGAGGUGUUCCAGGCGGCGUGAGCUGUGAAACUAUUCCACAUUUUCUUAAGUGUGUGCCAAACUCAUGACUCAAGUAUUCUCCUCCACGAUCUGAUCGCAGGAACUUGAUUUUCCUGUCACGUUGAUUCUCAACCUCACUCUAAAAUUCUUUGAACUUUUCAAAGGUCUCAGACAUACCCAUAUCUACUCAAGUCAUCAGUGAGGGUGAGAACAUAACGAUAGCCACUGCGAGCCUCAACACUCAUUGGACCGCACACAUCAAUAUGUAUGAUUUCCAAUAAGUUGGUUGCUCGCUCCAUUGUUCCUGAGAACGGAGUCUUGGUCAUUUUACCCAUGAGGCAUGGUUUGCACGUGUUAAAUGAUUCGUAAUCAAGAGACUCUAAAAGUCCAUCAGCAUGGAGCUUCUUCAUGCGUUUGACACCUAUGUGACCAAGGCGGUAGUGCCACAAGUAUGUGGGAUUAUCAUUAUCAAUCUUACAUCUUUUGGUACUCACACUAUGAACAUGUGUAGCAUUACGCUCGAGAUUCAUUAAGAAUAAACCAUUCAGCAUUGGAGCAUGACCAUAAAACAUAUCUCUCAUAUAAAUAGAACAACCAUUAUUCUCGGAUUUAAAUGAGUAGCCAUCUCGUAUUAAACGAGAUCCUGAUACAAUGUUCAUGCUCAAAUCUGGCACUAAAUAACAAUUAUUGAGGUUCAAAACUAAUCCCGUAGGUAAAUGUAGAGGUAGCGUGCCGACGGCGAUCACAUCGACCUUGGAACCAUUCCCGACGCGCAUCGUCACCUCGUCCUUCGCCAGUCUCCGCUUAUUCCGCAGCUCCUGCUUUGAGUUACAAAUGUGAGCAACUGCACCGGUAUCAAAUACCCAGGAGCUACUACGAGUACUGGUAAGGUACACAUCAAUUACAUGUAUAUCACAUAUACCUUUCGUUUUGCCGGCCUUCUUGUCUGCUAAGUAUUUGGGGCAGUUCCGCUUCCAGUGACCACUUCCCUUGCAAUAAAAGCACUCAGUCUUGGGCUUGGGUCCAUUCUUUGGCUUCUUCCCAGUAGCUUGCUUACUGGGCGCGGCAACUCCCUUGCCGUCCUUCUUGAAGUUCUUCUUACCCUUGCCUUUCUUGAACUUAGUGGUUUUAUUCACCAUCAACACUUGAUGUUCCUUUUUGACUUCUACCUCUGCUGAUUUCAGCAUUGCAAAUAAUUCGGGAAUGGUCUUUUCCAUCCCCUGCAUAUUGAAGUUCAUCACAAAGCUCUUGUAGCUUGGUGGAAGCGACUGAAGGAUUCUGUCAAUGACUGCGUCAUCUGGGAGAUUAACUCCCAGCUGAGUCAAGCGGUUAUGUAACCCAGACAUUGUGAGCAUGUGCUCACUGACAGAACUAUUUUCCUCCAUCUUACAACUAAAAAACUUGUCGGAGACUUCAUAUCUCUCGACCCGGGCAUGAGCUUGGAAAACCAUUUUCAGCUCUUCGAACAUCUCAUAUGCUCCGUGUCUCUCAAAACGUUUUUGGAGCCCCGGUUCUAAGCUGUAAAGCAUGCCGCACUGAACGAGGGAGUAAUCAUCAGCACGUGUCUGCCAAGCAUUCAUAACAUCUUGGUUCUGUGGGACGGGUGCGUCACCUAGCGGUGCUUGUAGGACAUAAUCUUUCUUGGCAGCUAUGAGGACGAUCCUCAGGUUCCGGACCCAGUCCGUAUAGUUGCUGCCAUCGUCUUUCAUCUUGGUUUUCUCUAGGAACGCGUUGAAGUUGAGGACUACGUUGGCCAUUUGAUCUACAAGACAUAUUGUAAAGAUUUUAGACUAAGUUCAUGAUAAUUAAGUUCAUCUAAUCAAAUUAUUCAAUGAACUCCCACUUAGAUAGACAUCCCUCCUGUAAUCUAAGUAUAACAUGAUCCGAGUUAACUAGGCCGUGUCCGAUCAUCACGUGAGACGGACUAGUCAACAUCGGUGAACAUCUUCAUGUUGAUCGUAUCUUCUAUACGACUCAUGCUUGACCUUUCGGUCUUCUGUGUUCCGAGGCCAUGUCUGUACAUGCUAGGCUCGUCAAGUCAACCUAAGUGUUUGCACGUGUAAAUCUGUCUUACACCCGUUGUAUGUGAACGUUGGAAUCUAUCACACCCGAUCAUCACGUGGUGCUUCGAAACAACGAACUGUCGCAACGGUGCACAGUUAGGGGGAACACUUUCUUGAAAUUAUUAUGAGGGAUCAUCUUAUUUACUACCGUCGUUCUAAGCAAACAAGAUGCAAAAACAUGAUAAACAUCACAUGCAAUCAAAUAAUAAUAGUGACAUGAUAUGGCCAAUAUCACAUAGCUCCUUUGAUCUCCAUCUUGGGGCUCCAUGAUCAUCUUGUCACCGGCAUGACACCAUGAUCUCCAUCAUCAUGAUCUUCAUCAUCAUGAUCUCCAUCAUCGUGUCUCCAUGAAGUUGCUCGCCAACUGUUACUUCUACUACUAUGGCUAACACGUUUAGCAAUAAAGUAAAGUAAUUUACAUGGCAUUUCUCAAUGACACGCAGGUCAUACAAAAAAUAAAGACAACUCCUAUGGCUCCUGCCGGUUGUCAUACUCAUCGACAUGCAAGUCGUGAUUCCUAUUACAAUAGCAUGAACAUCUCAUACAUCACAUAUAUAUCAUUCAUCAUUCAUCACAACUUUGGCCAUAUCAUAUCACAAAGCACUUGCUGCAAAAACAAGUUAGACGUCCUCUAAUUGUUGUUGCAAGUUUUACGUGGCUGCAAUAGGGUGCUAGCAAGAACGUUUUCUUACCUACGUGAAAACCACAACGUGAUUUGUCAACUUCUAUUUACCCUUCAUAAGGACCCUUUUCAUCGAAUCCGCUCCAACUAAAGUGGGAGAGACAGACACCCGCCAGCCACCUUAUGCAACUUGUGCAUGUUAGUCGGUGGAACCGGUCUCACGUAAGCGUACGUGUAAGGUUGGUCCGGGCCGCUUCAUCCCACAAUACCGCUGAAGCAAGAUAAGUCUAGUAGCGGCAAGAAAGUUGACAACAUCUACGCCCACAACAAAUUGUGUUCUACUCGUGCAAAGAGAACUACGCAUAGACCUAGCUCAUGAUGCCACUGUUGGGGAACAUUGCAGAAAACAAAAAAUUUCCUACGAUUUCACCAAGAUCCAUCUAUGAGUUCAUCUAACAACGAGUGAUCGGAUGCAUCUACAUACCUUUGUAGAUCGCGAGCGGAAGCGUUCAAAGAACGGGGAUGAGGGAGUCAUACUCGACGUGAUCCAAAUCACCGGAGAUCCUAGCGCCGAACGGACGGCACCUCCACGUUCAACACACGUACGGUCAGCGUAACGUCUCCUCCUUCUUGAUCCAGCAAGGGGGAAGGAGAGGUUGAGGAAGAUGGCUCCAACAGCAGCACGACGACGUGGUGGUGGUGGAGCUGCAGUACUCCGGCAGGGCUUCGCCAAGCUCUAUGGAGGAGGAGGAUGUGUUGGAGAGGGAGAGGGAGGCACCAAAGGCGUGGUUUGAGAGGCCCUCCUUCCCCACUAUAUAUAGGGAGCCUAGGGGGGCGCCGGCCCUAAGAGAUGCAAUCUCCUAGGGGGCGGCGGCCAAGGGAGGAAUCCCUCCUCCCCAAGGCACCUAGGAGGUGCCUUCCCCCUUUAGGACUCUUCCUUUCUUGAUCUCCUGGCGCAUGGGCCUCUUGGGGCUGGUGCCCUUGGCCCAUAUAGGCCAAGGCACACACCCCUACAGCCCAUGUGCCCCCCCGGGGCAGGUGGCCCCACCCGGUGGACCCCCGGGACCCUUCCGGUGGUCCCGGUACAAUACCGGUGACCCCGAAACUUGUCCCGACGGCCGAAAUAGCACUUCCUAUAUAUAAUUCUUUACCUCCGGACCAUUCCGGAACUCCUCGUGACGUCCAGGAUCUCAUCCGGGACUCCGAACAACAUUCGGGUUACUGCAUAUACAUAUCCCUACAACCCGAGCGUCACCGAACCUUAAGUGUGUAGACCCUACGGGUUCGGGAGACAUGUAGACAUGACCGAGAUCGCUCUCCGGUCAAUAACCAACAGCGGGAUCUGGAUACCCAUGUUGGCUCCCACAUGCUCCUCGAUGAUCUCAUCGGAUGAACCACGAUGUCGAGGAUUCAAGCAACCCCGUAUACAAUUCCCUUCGUCAAUCGGUAUGUUACUUGCCCGAGAUUCGAUCGUCGGUAUCCCAAUACCUCGUUCAAUCUCGUUACCGGCAAGAAACUUUACUCGUACCGUAAUGCAUGAUCCCGUGACCAGACACUUGGUCACUUUGAGCUCAUAAUGAUGAUGUAUUACUGAGUGGGCCCAGUGAUACCUCUCCGUCAUACGGAGUGACAAAUCCCAGUCUUGAUCCGUGUCAACCCAACAGACACUUUCGGAGAUACCCGUAGUAUACCUUUAUAGUCACCCAGUUACGUUGUGACGUUUGGUACACCCAAAGCACUCCUACGGUAUCUGGGAGUUACACGAUCUCAUGGUCUAAGGAAAGGAUACUUGACAUUGGAAAAACUCUAGCAAACGAACUAUACGAUCUUAUGCUAUGUUUAGGAUUGGGUCUUGUCCAUCACAUCAUUCUCCUAAUGAUGUGAUCUCGUUAUCAAUGACAUCCAAUGUCCAUAGUCAGGAAACCAUGACUAUCUGUUGAUCAACGAGCUAGUCAACUAGAGGCUUACUAGGGACAUGUUGGUGUCUAUUAUUCACACAUGUAUUACGAUUUCCGGAUAACACAAUUAUAGCAUGAAUAAAGACAAUUAUCACGAACAAGGAAAUAUAAUAAUAAUGCCUUUAUUAUUGCCUCUAGGGCAUAUUUCCAACACUUUCCCAGUGACAGUAGGGGCAGCAAGGCACGUAUUAUAUUGUUGCCAUCGAGGAUAAAAAGAUGGGGUUUAUAUCAUAUUGCUUGAGUUCAUCCCUCUAGAUCAUGUCAUCUUGCCUAAUGCGUUACUCUGUUCUUAUGAACUUAAUACUCUAGAUGCAUGUUGGAUAGCGGUCGAUGUGUGGAGUAAUAGUAGUAGAUGCAGAAUUGUUUCGGUCACUUGACACAGACGUGAUGCCUAUGUUCAUGAUCAUGCCUAGAUACUCUCAUAACUAUGCGCUUUUCUAUCAAUUGCUCGGCAGUAAUUUGUUCACCCACCGUGAUAUAUGCUAUCUUGAGAGAAGCCACUAGUGAAACCUAUGGCCCCCGGGUCUACUUUACAUCAUGUAAGUUUCCGAUCUACAAUUCUAGUUUACUAUUUAUUUUGCAAUCUUUAUUUUCCAAUCUAUACAACAAAAAUACCAAAAAUAUUUAUCUUAUUAUCUUUAUCAGAUCUCACUUUUGCAAGUGGUCGUGAAGGGAUUGACAACCCCUUUAUCGCGUUGGUUGCAAGGUUCUUAUUUAUUUGUGCAGGUACUAGGCGACUUGCGUGUAGUCUCCUACUGGAUUGAUACCUUGGUUCUCAAAAACUGAGGGAAAUACUUACGCUACUUUGCUGCAUCACCCUUUCCUCUUCAAGGGAAAACCAACGUAUGCUCAAGAGGUAGCAGUUGCCAAGAUGGCAGCUUCAGGCUUACUGAUGUAUUACUUUGUAAGUUCUUUGUGAAUAAUUAAUAAAAUGAUUGCAUGCAUUGCCCAGAUGCAGAGGCCGGGGGUAUAUCCUUCUAAAAAAACUCAACAAAAGUUAGGUCAAAGAUAUUUGAGAUGUUGUUAGUUGAAGUUUUGGCAUUUGUAUAAGUUAUGUGUUCGAGUUGAAAUCCAUAAACAACAUACUCACCAGCAGAUACGGUUUUGUCAUGCUACGUUGCUUCUGUGCUAGCCAUGUUCUCUCUUAAUCACCAGAUCUUGGUUAAUCUUGUUUUCUGGGCACACCAUGCAGUCUUUAUAGAGAACGACACAUUGACCUUUAGAGAAAACACCAAUGCAAUGAUCUUUACUCGAUAUGUUGGAUUUCAUGUUAUCGCGGUUAGAUGAAUCUAUGGGGAUUAUAGUGUUUUUUCAGGACUAGGAAACACAGCCUCCAUUUGGUACUGUAUUGAAUUUUUUUCAUAAUUCAGAAACACCACCUUUGACUCAGUACCGAUUUUUCAGCCUUUAGGCCAACCUGGAUGGUUGUUUUCAAGACGAAUACCUAUGUAAUAUUUUAGAGCUUAAAAUUUCGACCAAGGGACCAAAACGUGCAUGGAUCGCCGUUUUAGUUUUCUUUUUCACCCAAUUUGUAUUGAAUACACAUGCAAAAUAUUGGACCAUGGUAGACCCCUGUUCUUUGCAUCGAAAAGGGAGCAAAAAAUGCGAUGGAAGUAAAGGGGCACCUUUACUUUUACCAUACAUUUCCCACUACUCCCUCCAUUCCAACGAGCAAUAAAGAUUUGAGUUGGUGGUCGUCCAUAGUCAGGCCAUGCAAAAGCAUGACCCUAGCAAGUGGUCUAUGCUGAUACCCCGCCCCUCCACCCGCCAUGGCAAUGCAAUUCAAAGAUAAUCACUCCUCUAUGUCUCCAUCCACCACCUCUGCAUCGACAUGCAUGCUAUGUCGUCCUCAUGGCAUGCUUUGUCACCACGCUCAUGCUUGACGUCACCAACUUGGAGUGUGGUAGAGGCAUGGUGGGUGUCAUGACCUUCUCGAGUAGCGUCAUUCGGACGUACGUUUUCUUAGCUAAAUCUAGUGGCCAUUGAGGACACAAGAGCUUGUAUGUGGCAAGGGUCAUGGCAACAACUUUUUCGAGGCCACAAGUGGUGAGUAGGGCCGGUCUGGCAUUUUAAAGGUAACAGUGCAAACUUGGUACACUAUAAUAGAGUAAAGGAAGUACUUCCACAAAUAUAUAUUGCACAUCAUGAAAGUUAUUAUAAAGGUAUAAAUACCAGAAAUAUAAUUUUAAUUACCAAAUAAGGUGAGACGAAAAUGAAUCGAAGACUAAAUUGGUUGAAUCACAAUGUGAUAGUUAUCUAAAGAGUAUGUGAUACAUGUACUCCAAUGUAAACAAUUGUUGAAGAAAUGUGGUGAUGCGUUAGCAAAGUCUCUCUUUUUCCGUUGGUAUUGUGUGAUGUAAAUAUAUUUUAGAAUGUAUUAAUGUAUGUAGAUGUAUUGGUCCGUUAUUUGAGAUGAGCCAUAGGCUGUGACACUUGUUUUCAUUCUCCGGGGCCAGCCCUGCACUUGGCAUAUCUUGCGCUACUACCAUGGUCUGUGGCGCAUGAUCCUCAGCAUGCAACUGAGCCACCAUCGGUGAUGACCUUUGCAUGCCCUUUUAAGUUGCUUGCUUGGGCAAGGUGUAGGAUUAUUUAUGACAUGAGUUAUUUAAAAAUGAUUCACAUGUUCUCUGAAUUAUCGACUGAUUCAACAACAUGGCUACGGUCCACCUACUCCUAUAUAUACUUACACUCUCCUUAAUAAUGUGUUUUUUCUAAGCUUUCUUCUAGUAGCCCCUUCACUUGCUCAUAUUCAGGCAUUGUUGUGGAUGCCAUAGAAGCACUGACAAGAAAAUUUAUGGAGUCUUCUGUGAAAACAAUGUAUAUGCAUUGUAACCGACCCAACCAUAUGUGCAACAUCUCGAUAAGUGAGAAGCUUCACUCUUGUGAUAAGAAAUGAGAGAGCUGGGUUGUCAGCAGCUUCGGUCUUGUGAUAAGAAAAUGGAAAAUGCCAAAGACGAGCCAUUCUUGUUGGGUGGAGCACGAACACUAAGCAUUGAUCCAUCUUGUUUUCACAAUGCUUCAUAGAUUUUCUUAUGAACAAACAGGUAAUAUAAAAUUUCCAACAUUAAGAAUGGUAAUUCCUCUAGUAUGUUCACCAGAAUACAUACGACAUAGAACCACCCAAGCAACAUAGCAUGUAGUAGCGGGGCUAUGUGCAGGCUAGAGGUCUUUUGCCCCCCUCCCCCCUCCCCCACCCCCAAGAAAACCAUGUGCAAUGAAAAACUCCUUGAAUAUGAUAUCGGUAGAGAAGACCUACAAAUAAACAUCUUAGUUGUUUGAACAAUGCAAAUGAUAAGCAUGAGUCUUUGGCUUCCGUUGAGAUGUUAUUCAUCUACCAGACUUUAUCAAAAGGCACUGGUAUUAUUGGUGGUGCCAUCUUGGCUGGGAAUCCAUUUUAUGCGGACGCCAUAGGAACCUUCCUCUAUCUCUUGUUUGUUUACUCACAUGACUAUUAGUUUAGGAGGUAAACGUUGAAACAUUGGAUGGUUUUCUCCUUGCAAUGCCUUCAUAUAUUGAACAAUCGAACUUGGAUUGCGUCCAUGUGCAUAAGAACUUAGAGAAGUUUGAUGUGAACAACAUUUUAUUAUGAUCCUUACCAAGACAAAACAUAGAUGAGUACAAGAAAGCAGACAAAGCCAUAUAUAUAAUGACCAUUCUUGAAAUUACUUCACUCAGCCCAGAGGGUCUUUGCCACAAGAAAAGAUGAAUAAAUUGGCACAAAAUAUAGUAGCACAAAAAUGGUCUCGUCUUGAUUCUUGUCUUAUCUGUCAUCAAAAACCACAAUAGGAUACAAACGAGCAAAAAUAAUCAGAGCAAGGUCCGCCAGACUUGUGUCAGACACAUGUGUGAGGUUACACUAUAACUGACAUAAAAAAUUCCAUUCGGAUGGAUAUAGCUGGAGUAACGUGAUUUUACUUUACAGGAUGAAAAUAUCGAAGCCCGUUGAUAAAAUAUUGGCAUGUGUUUCGGCGAACAAGGAGAUGACUCUCGGAUAGAAGUAGCCAUGAAAGAAAACAUGUUGGUAUUGAGGUAUGUAGACAAGGCCAUCGCUAGCGUUUCGGAGAGGCUCUAGUGCUGAGUACAGUGGGCCCAAUGGCAAUAAUAGAAUAUAUUAUGUAUUGCAACAUAAAUAAUUAUUGAAGAAAUGUAAUAUGGUGUCAUGAAGGGGGAGGGGGCCAAAGCCAAGCCUCCUGCAAAACAAAAUUUAGUAUUAUGAUUUAUGUAUGUCAAUAUAUAGGGAGCUUAUUUGAGGUGGGUAUUGCUCAGUUGCACCUUUUGUCAUGGGGAUGGCAUCAGUGGCUAGAGAAAAAAUGGAGAUAGCUUGGUCUAGCUUGAGGUGUUGCAGCAGGGAAGCUUCGAGUAGCUCGGUUGUUUACCUCUCAAUGAAGGACAUGAGUUCUUGGAUUAGGUUGACCGGAUCUGUUCAUAUCUUUGUUAGUAAUGCAAAAAAGAGGAUAAUGAUGUGGGGGUCAUGGAUUCUGUAUAAGAUAUGUCUUUUUAAUACAAUGUCGUUGUUCUUAGGGACGAGGAUUUGUGGCUCUCAGGUGCCACACACACCCCUAUAUGAACACAACACUAAAAAAAUACCACAAAAUUGUAUUAAGCGAGUAAUUGUCAGUCUGUGCUCGGUGGGGUCUUGUAACACUCUAAAACUCUAUUCUCCUCAUUUAAUAGAUGAAGCAAAUCUUUUGCCUCCGUUUUGAAAAAAAACUGGGUGCCCAGUGUACACCCAUGUUUAGUUUUGUGGGGAAUGGGUGCCGUGUUCAUAUUGAUAAAAGAGUCAAAAAAAUCCUAUGUAUAAAAAAACUAUUUGGAUGGAUCAUAUGUCGGACCAUAUUUCCUUUUCCACAGAUAUCAUAGGCACCCAUUCCUCACGAAACUAAACACCAGUGUACAAUGGGCACCUAGGUUUGAUAUCCCCAAAUUUCAGAUUAAAAAAAUUAUUGGUAAUUUUUCUAAUGUUUAUUCAUAUAGGGGUGUGUGGCACCUCGGAGCUCUAAUGCAUUUCCCUGUUCUUUAGUUGAUAAUGUAUGCUGCACAUAGUAAAGAAUAUGCUAGACCAAGUUAUAAGUAUUUGUUUUUUGAGAAACACAUUUAAGAUGCAGAUUGUGCUGAUGAAUCAAGACUCACAAAUAACUAUGGUUGUUCAUGUGCAAAUUAGAACUACACAUGUUGAUUUUUAAUGAAUCACGAGGAGCUGGAUCGCCGAUCAAUCGACAGUCCGAGAACUAUGUUGGUAUAGCUAUAAAGAUUUAAAAAAACGAAACAUGAAGUGUGAGAUUUAGAGCAUCUCUAGCAGAUCUUGUAAAAUAGGCUGUCCGCUAUAAUAACCGCCGAUAUAGCGGAUGGGGACGUAUUUUUCGCCCGGAACAAAUCUAUAAAAUUGGUCGUCCGCUAAAUUAUUUUGUGAGAUCCUGCAAAGUCCGGGCUGAUUUCAUCAUAUCUACGGGUUCCCUCCCUCUUUUUGUCGGUUCCCUUAUCUCUCCCGCGUCUUGGCACCAAGGAAAUUUCACCUCACGCGCCCUUCCCUGCCGCCGCAUCUCCCUGUCGUCUCUUGCUGACCCCAGCCAUCCCGCGCCGUACAGUAGCUCUGUCACCCCCGCCGCACCUAUUCCACCAAUUUUGGAGGCCGAGGGUGCCCAUUUUUCUCCGCAGACGAGCGGCCGCCACCAGCACCAUGGUUCCGCCCCGGAGGUUGCUGCGCGGCCUUGUAGUGGGCGCAUCCGGUUGGUUCCCAUGCCGGUGAACCCCGGAAUCGCCUGAGGGAUAGCUGCGCGCGCCGGCGCCGCGGAUUUGGAUCGUGGUGAAGAAGGGGUUUGGCCGAUUUGCUUCGGCCGACACCGGAGAAGAAAGCGGCGGCUCACUUGAUUCCGGGAGGCGGAAUUGCAUUCGGGGAAGGUAAGUUCAAUGCCCGGUGAUUUGUUGAUUCAAUUUCGGCCUGCGAGAUUUAGGAAAAUUCAUCACGUGCAUUUCUUUUGUUAGAUGGAUUGGAGUUCGUCGUCGUCGUCGUCGUCAGAUGAUUCCGUGAUAGAGAGAAGAUUUUGGACAACGAUGUCGACAACCUAGUGUUGUUGUAGCUCGUGAACAAAUUUGAAAGGGGUCCGAAGAGAAAGCGUCAUGGAUCCAAGGUUGACCAGCUAUGCAUUCUGCCCAACCGAUCUCUCAGUGACAAGAUGCUUAUGAAGGACUACUUCGCCAAGGUACCGACAUAUCCGGCUCACCUAUUCUGUAGGCGGUAUCGAACGUGUAGGCCUCUUUUCGUUUGCAUCAUUGAAGGUUGCGAGCAAAAUUGUCGUCUUUUCACUCGUCGAAGGAAUGCUGCCGGUUUGCUUGGCUUUAAUACAUAUCAAAAAAUAUCGGCGGCGAUGAGAGUGAUUGCAUAUGGCGUUCCCGCCGACUAUGCCGAUGAAUAUCUUCGCAUUGGAGAAGAUGCCACUAUCAAAUGCGUGCAGGUGUUUGUGAAGACAAUGGUUCGGGUUUUUGGCCCAGAGUAUCUUCAAGCUCCAAAUGAGGAGGACACAAAGAAGUUGAUGGCGAUGAACGAAGAAUGUGGAUGGUCGGGCAUGCUUGGGAGUAUUGAUUGCAUGCAUUGGAGGUGGAAGAACUGCCCGAUGGCUUGGGCAGGGCAAUACAUUGGACACAAACGUAAACCUACCAAUGUGCUUGAAGCUGUGGCUUCACGCGAUUUAUGGAUUUGGCAUGCUUCUUUGGUUUGCCAGGGUCUCUCAAUGAUAUCAAUGUCCAUCGUUCUCAUCUUUAUGCUCAGCUAGAGUGGAAAAGCUCCGGCUUGCAACUAUACCAUCAAUGACCAUGAUUAUACCAUGGGGUACUAUCUUGCCGACGGUAUUUAUCCUCCAUGGUGAACAUUUGUGAAGACCUCUCCAUGGUGAACAUUUAUGAAGACCAUCAGUGACCCCAAAACCAAGAAGCACGAAAUUUUUGCCGAAGCACAAGAAACAUGCCGAAAAGAUAUUGAGAGGGCAUUUGUUGUGUUGCAAGCUUGGUUUUCCAUUGUUUGAGGUCUCGCUCGAUUCUAGGAUAAGAAAUCCCUCAAAAACAUCAUGGCCGCAUGUGUAAUUUUACACAAUAUGAUCAUCGAGGAUGAGAGAAAUUUGAACUUAAGAGUUUUAUUAUGAUAAUGUGGGUAGCCAUGUGAAGCCUGGCAGGGACGCAGGUGAGAUCACUGCAUUUCUUGAGACAUGCCGGAAGAUUGAGAAUAGUGCUUCACACUACCAGCUCCGCGAUGAUCUUGUUGAGCAUAGUGGCAACUCUAUGGGAGAUUAGACUCCCAUUUUAAUUUUAAUUUUAUAAAUUUCAUAUGUAUUUGUGUGUGAUUGAACAAUUUAUUGUUGUACUAAUUAUUAGAAUUUGAACGGUUGUUGUAAUGAAGAUUGUUGUACUGUGAAUUGCCUUUCGGAUCAUUUAUAUUCAUACGUUUAAUUUAUAUUAUAAUUCUGUUCGGUUGAUAUUGUUAAAAAUCAAAAAGUUGUGAGGCUCAAGAAAAUUUACGGUACCGCGAGGCCUUCGGCUCGGAACAGACCAUGUAAACUCAUCCCACAAAUAUUUUGCCAGGACCUGCUAGAGAUGCUCUUAGGGGCUCGCGGAAGUUGGUCUUUUGAGGCAUCUAUCUAUAGACCUUUUGUGCAAAACUCAUAGGAUAUGACUUGCGUACAAGCAAUAGUCUUUGGUUAUGAGUUGAAACCCCGUGUCCAGUAUCCCAAACAGAUUCUAGAGAUACGACUCCGAGUAGUAUUGUGUCCGAGGGUUUCUUUCACAAGCGAGGCGUCAAAACAAGGUUAACAAACAGCACCAAAUAAUAAAACGAAUAAAACACAAGGCAUAUCAUUUGAGUGAACCAGAAUACCAUCGACAUUAAACUACCACGGAGACGAAACAAAUACAAAGAACUCUUUGGUUACACAAGUACCUAUCUCUUGCUGGCCAAGAGAAGAUAACACACAACCUAGCAGCAAGUACUAAAUAAAAGCUACAACAGCCGGCUCAAGACAGUUUAUUAG
rnacentral:lncRNA from 1 species